UGUGUGUUCUCCUGGAAAUGGCACUGCCCUGUGCUUGCCGUGGUGGAAGGAUGCAUCUCAGAAGACCCUAUGGUAACACUGCAGCUUCAGCUUUGUCCUUGUGCCAUCGCCCCAAGGCUUCAUGCCCUGGUGAUGUAUCCUCGCCCUUCAAACACCCCGCAGCUCAGUGCCUCAUCAGCUGAGGCCUCCAGAGAAGGGUGUUGGGGUCACCUGUGAUCCAUGAAUGAAGCUCUGAAGAUAGAAACUGAAAAUACUGUAGGCUGAUGAGUGUGUGGCGGAUGGAGGCUUACUGGGAGAAAGCAGCAAGCUGUGUGUCUGCCCAGCAGCACCAAAGGAGCAGCCCAGCACCUGGGAACGAGGAAUGUUUUGUGCUAAGCAGUGCCAGGUUGCACGUGAGCCCUACUUCAGAGCUGCCCACAGCUGGGAGAAUGGAGCCCUUCUCUUUCUUGUGCAGAAUCAGUGGAGCGCUUCCCUUCCUUACAGGCGUGCUGUGUCCCAGGAUGCUCCAGCACUGCUCAGCCUUUCUUGGGCUUCUCCAAGGCGCCCAUCCUGGAGCAUGAACUUAACCAAAUAAACAUAGAUUUCUACUGAGCAGAAUAAUUCCUUGGACCCCCGAUUAGACAAAUAUUCUCAGAAUAGAAACAAGGCUACUUUACAGCCACAGACUAAACAUAACUCAGCAGCUAGAUAUUGAAUCUGCAGACACGAGAAUUCCCCUGCCCCGGCAAAACAGCUGACCUUCUGUGCGAGCCACUUAGCUGUGCUCAACAAGCGAUAUAGGUCAUUUUUACUCAGCCUGUCCAGCUCACACAUUCCCCGCUGCUGGGGGAGGAAAGCCAACAACGCCAACUCUCAGCUCUCCUGGCGGCGCUGGGGAGGCUGAAAGAAGGGUGAAGUACACUUCUCUUUGUAGCUGAGCAGCCCUGUGGCAUGGGGAGGAUCUUCUUCACAGGGUGAUUCACCGCCAACAUCCCUGCCCCACUCCAGCAACCACUGAGCUAUGCAUGGGGAAAGCUGGAGGUGACAAGUGGGAUCCCCAGCUUGCAAACAUCCAGCCCCCUUCCCUCAGUCCCAAGCUUUCAUCCUUUGGCAGAGGAAGAGGAAGGUGGGAGAGGGGGAAGGGCCAGGCCGGAGCAGGUGGGGACC